GGAAAGAACAGCUAAAAGGGGUGGGGCAGUGAAUCUCAGAAAGCACUAACAACUUGUUGGCAAAGAGGUAUAGAUCCAAACAACCGAAUCCUUUGUUUCUGGAAGAAUAUUGGCCAAGAUAUAUUAAUGCCUCCCUGAACAGGUGGGAUUGUUUUAAUAUAAAUCAUGCAAAAUGGUGCCCUUGACAAUGUAGCAUUUAAACGUCAACACAUCCUGAAGUUGAAGUUAGACAUAAAACCACGUGACUUGGAGAUACCGAAUGAAACCAAGCAGAUGCAAUUAACUGCACUGGCUGGGUCUGCUAAUAAUUAGAAACUUCUUUUGUGCACAACCAUCAACUUGCUCAGGUGGUUACCAGCCAAAGGUGCACAAUAACAGUUCAGACACAGAUGGAUUCACUUGAAGACUGUGGUUAUUGAUUCACAAGAAUAAAAUAAAUUCUUAGUUAAGCUGGAACUCUGUAGGGACCAGACCACUGCUUUCGCCCUGCGGAGAGAUUAAAUAGCAAGAUGAUAACAGAUCAAGUGGUGGUGAAAGGUGAAGAGGAGAUAACACAUCACUAUUGAUUGUGGAAAAGAAAACAAAAUAAAAAGUUUUACGUGUGAAACUUUUGCAGAAGACUUCAAAGAACAAAGUGGUCCAAGUUGCAGACAAAGACAAGUCCUUGAAGGAGCCACUCCCUCUGAAGAGCGAUGGGCUGAACCUGAACUGGAGGUGAACCAGUAUCUUGGCUGGGAGGUUUGCUGAUGCUACUUGGGAGAGUUCCGCAGGAGGAAGGCAUCCAGAGCCCCAGCACAAAGAAUAUCAAAGAAUUGAUGGAAGGGAAAUAGCUCAACUAAAGGAAGACACACACUUGCACUUAAUAACAAAACAUCCCAUGGCUCAAAGGAAGAAUAAAAUGUAAAGAAAUUAUGUAACAAAAAUCCUUAUCUGUUUCCCUAUGAGGGUAUGAUUGCAUGCUUCCUGAAGCUGUCACCACUACCAAAAGAAAUCUCUAGAAAAAUAAACACAUCCGAUUUAUAAUGAAUGCAAUUCCUAUUGUAUUUUCUCUCCAGAAAGUACUAUUGCCUUGUUGAGUGAGGGUGUAUACACAGUUUUCAGAUCUCAGCCAAGUCUGUUUUCUCACUGCAUACUAAAACAUGCAUGAAAUUCUCUUGUAUCUCCUCUGUCAGGUACUAUUUUCAGUAUAUUUAUAUUUCCAAUAAAUCACAUUGCGUGAAACUGGUUCGAUGGUUUUGACCUUUUCCAGCACAGGUGCAAAAAGGAUGGAUAGGCUUGUAACAGAGAAAAAUGAGGUCAGUGACUUUGAAUAAAGCUUUACAGAUAUAUAUCCCACAUAGUCCAGUACUUUGGAUUUUUAAGUAAAAUGAGCAAAAAGAAAUUGAAUAAAACACUUUUUGAAAAUAAAUUUCAUCUGUGUGCUGUUUAUAAAGAUAUAAUAAAUGCUGGUAUAGGUAAUUUUGAUGCAACAAGGGAAGGUGGCUUCUGAGA